CGGCGAGUGAAGCGGCAACAGCUCAAAUUUGAAAUCUGGCUCUCUUUGGGGGUCCGAGUUGUAAUUUGCAGAGGAUGCUUUGGCAUUGGCGGCGGUCUAAGUUCCUUGGAACAGGACAUCGCAGAGGGUGAGAAUCCCGUACGUGGGCGCCUGCCUUUGCCGUGUAAAGCUCCUUCGACGAGUCGAGUUGUUUGGGAAUGCAGCUCUAAAUGGGAGGUAAAUUUCUUCUAAAGCUAAAUACCGGCCAGAGACCGAUAGCGCACAAGUAGAGUGAUCGAAAGAUGAAAAGUACUUUGGAAAGAGAGUCAAAAAGCACGUGAAAUUGUUGAAAGGGAAGCGCUUGCAGCCAGACUUGCCCGCAGUUGCUCACCUAGGCUUUGGCCUGGGGCACUCUUCUGCGGGCAGGCCAGCAUCAGUUUGGGCGGUCGGACAAAGGCCUCUGUCAAGUAUCUCCCUUCGGGGUGACCUUAUAGGGGAGGCGUAAUGCGACCAGCCCGGACUGAGGUCCGCGCAUCUGCUAGGAUGCUGGCGUAAUGGCUGUAAGCGGCCCGUCUUGAAACACGGACCAAGGAGUCUAACAUCUAUG
rnacentral:rRNA from 1 species